UGAAGAGAUGAGAUGACCCCUAUAAACUUGAUCCGGUCAGGCCGUUUUGACUUAUAAACCCAAUGGCUACGGUUCGUCCCUGGUGUAUGUCAAUGCCGUCAAUACACUCACUGGAGGGAUAGUUAUUGGUGCUCCACGGAGUCGUACGGCGGUUUGAUUCACGAAGCCGCUGUGCCAAAGUGUAUGUAUUCGAUCCGUUACCGAUCCGAAAAAAACCGUGCUAUACUGUAGUCAGCAGGAAUUUCUCGCUUUACGGGGAUUCCCGUUUGGGACCUUCCGUAAGCGUAAGCUUUGGGCUUUGCACAGGACCGGUUCUGUGCAUGGUAGUUUAACCGUAGUCGCAUCCCAUUUGCGGAUAAAUCCUUUUGGUGAUUUAAUUAAUCCAUUUUAUUAAAAAAAAAAAUCGAGAUAGCCGGAAACUGAAAUGUUUGAGAAAACGUGUUCGUUUACCGCGUACGUAAAUUGCGUAACGUUACUAUCCCAAGGCAUGUUGCACGUUUGAUAGAAAUCUACGUUUCUGAUCUUGUGUCAUCAUAAGGAGGAAAAUCCAAACAAUGAAUGAAACAAACAAACAAACGAACAAACUCCCGCACGAUGCACUCGUUCAAUUUAUGGAAUUGAUACACCAAAAUAGCUUAAUUACGCACAAUGGUGUAUGGAAGCAUUGGGAUAUUCUUUAAUGAAGAAGGAAGACAUCUACCAAACUGUACAACUAAGAUCAAUGUUUGGAGGCUCGUCCAGUACCAGACAUGCACAUAUGCUGCACACCCCAGACUGUGCAUAGAAGUCUUUCCUUUCCUUGCACUAUUGCAAGCAACAUCUGAAGGCUCUAUCUUUUAUUACUGUCAACUGUGUGUCCACACAAUAAAAUGAAAUGUAGUUAGUAAUAAAAUGAAAAUGUAGAAAUAAAAUGGAGAAUGUAG